AGUGCUCGCUCCUGCUCGGGGCGCUGCGGCCCCGGGCGUCGCCAUGACCAGCGAGCUGGACAUCUUCGUGGGGAACACGACACUUAUCGACGAGGACGUGUAUCGCCUCUGGCUCGAUGGUUACUCGGUGACCGACGCGGUGGCCCUGCGGGUGCGCUCGGGAAUCCUGGAGCAGACGGGCGCCACGGCAGCGGUGCUGCAGAGCGACACCAUGGACCAUUACCGCACCUUCCACAUGCUCGAGCGGCUGCUGCACGCGCCGCCCAAGCUACUGCACCAGCUCAUCUUCCAGAUUCCGCCCUCCCGGCAGGCACUACUCAUCGAGAGGUACUAUGCCUUUGAUGAGGCCUUUGUUCGGGAGGUGCUGGGCAAGAAGCUGUCCAAAGGCACCAAGAAAGACCUGGAUGACAUCAGCACCAAAACAGGCAUCACCCUCAAGAGCUGCCGGAGACAGUUUGACAACUUUAAGCGGGUCUUCAAGGUGGUAGAGGAAAUGCGGGGCUCCCUGGUGGACAAUAUUCAGCAACACUUCCUCCUCUCUGACCGGUUGGCCAGGCUGGAAUGCAAUGGUGCAAUCUCGGCUCACU
rnacentral:sRNA from 1 species